GAUGAAGAACGCAGCGAAAUGCGAUAAGUAGUGUGAAUUGCAGAAUUCAGUGAAUCAUCGAAUCUUUGAACGCACAUUGCGCCCCUUGGUAUUCCGAGGGGCAUGCCUGUUCGAGCGUCAUUUCAACCCCUCAAGCUCAGCUUGGUGUUGGGCUGCGCCAGCGUGCUGGCGGGCCUUAAAAUCAGUGGCGGUGCCGUGUGGGCUCCAAGCGUAGUAGCAUCUCUCGCUCUGGGGACCCGGCGGUUGCCUGCCAGACAAUCACCAAAAAAACAAAGGUUUGACCUCGGAUCAGGUAGGGAUACCCGCUGAACUUAAGCAUAUCAAUAAGCGGAGGA
rnacentral:misc_RNA from 1 species